AAAAAAUGGUUCAUCAACUAGUAUAUCACAUGUAAUACUGUCAUAAUUAUUUUCCAGUUGUUUUUCCCUACCAAAUAUGUGAAGGUGUGGGCACUUUGCCGAGAUGAUCUGAUUUCAAAUUUCACAAGCAUAUCCAAAUUUUCAGUGGCUUAACACAAUAACAGUGCAUUUCUUACUCCAAUAAUAUUCUAAUGCUGGCAGGGAGAGCGUUGGGAAAUCUCUUCUCUAUCUUUAUUUAGGGACUUAGACUCAUUUCAUUUAUUAAUUUUUUCCAUCCCUUAGGUCUUUGAGUUCUCCACUGAAUGCUUUCCAAUAAGCCAGGAGAUGAGGGAUGAGAAAGAGUACACAAAGAAUCUCAUGAGAAUAGUUUCAGGAACUUUAGGCCAGACCUAGAAGUGGAUAUAUGACUUCCACAUAUGUUCCAUUGGCCAGAACUCCAUUGCAUGGUCCCAACUAACUGCAGAGGAAUCAGAAAUGUAGUCUAGCUAUGUGCAAAGGAGAGAAAAAGAAAUUGAACUUGAAAACAUAUUUACAGCCUAGAUGUUGGGGUUGGACCUUCUGUAAACUCUAAAGGCAGUUUAUAAAUUAAAUGCACGAGUGAUGUGACUCUGCUAUAUUUAUGCUGAGGAAUUAAAUAGCAAAAUCUAGUAUUUCACUGAUGUAUUUAUAUAAAGUAUCUGCUAUAACCUUGUAUAGUACAUUACAUGAUAAUCAUAUUUGAACCUUCCUUCUGGGGACACUAUCUCUCAAGACGUUUUAUGCACCAUGUCAACAAGUUCCAGGUUUAGGAUAACACGCCACUGCUGUCUCUACUUCGGUGAGAGCAAAGGAUGAUUUUUACUUCCACCACUGCCCCCUUCAACCCAUUUUUGUUCAGUCCCAGAAGACCAACUUGUUAGGAAUUUGAAAGUUUUACUGUGUCAGCCACACGUGCAAGGAAAAUCACUCCAAUAAAAUGAGAAAUUCUUCUCUAGAAGGUAAAAAUAGAAUCCCAGCAGCAGGGCAACUACAAAGAUAAAGAAAAAAUAGCCUUUAGGCUAAAGGCAGGUUGGUAAGUUAAGGUGGCAUCUAACAAACACAUUGGGAUUUCCUGGGACUUGAGUGGGACUGCUUACUGAAGCAUUUAAUAGAACAGAGUGCUAGAUUGCUUAGCCCAGAUUACAGAUAAAAAAGAUUUGAAAAGACCAUUACAUAAGCCUAAAUCUUCAUUCACCAAAAAAAAAAAAAAAAAAAAGAGAGAAGAAAAGAAAAGAAAAGUCUCCUUAAAAUGUAUAAAAUCCUAGUCUAUAAAGAAUGCCCAGUUUCUAGGUAAGGGAUAAAGGUUGGCAGUUUGCAAAAAGAAAAAUGUUAACAUAACCAUUUCUCCUAUUCUAUUCUGUCUCUCCUUAUCUAGCCAAGAAAACUCCAGGGUGCUGUGUUCAGCAUUUGUAUAUACAGACAAAACAUUCUGUUUAUGCAGAUAAGAUAAAGGACAAGGCACAUGAAAGUUUGAGAGACAAUGAUUACUGAAGAGAAAAUGUUGAACUAAGAUUCCUAUUCUAGCACUGGUUCUAGGAAUUCUUUCUUUACUAACUGUGUGACUUUGAAUUAUUCAAUGUGAAUAAUAAAACUUGCUUAGUAGUUUAGGUGUAUUAGACACUAAAGGGAUUAAACACUAUGAAUAAUCAUCAUCAGAAAGAUGUUAUAAUUUAAUAAGAAAAUUAAGGCACGUAUACAAAUGAGUUUAUCACAGGAUAAGGUAAGCGCACUAUGAGAAGUACUAACAGGUGGUGGGGCAAGAUGGCAGAAUAGAAAGCUCCCCCAAUCCUCCCACUCACUCCGACCCCAAGGACACCAAAUCAACAUCUACACAGAAUAAAGACCAUCAUAAGAAUCAAAAAUAAGGUGAGGAAUCAUAGUACCUGGUUUUAACUUCAUAUCACUGAAAGAAGCGCCGAAGAGAUAGAAAAAAAAUCCUGGAUCACGGAUGCCACCCGUCCUCCAUCCAAGGCAUUAGCAGCUGUGGGGAGUGCCUCUGGGCACUGAGGGAGGGAGAAUGCAGCAAUUGUGAGGCAUUGAACUCAGUGCUGUCCUGUUAGAACAGAGAGGAAAACUGGCCCAAAUUUAGCUGUCACCCACCCAUGCCCACAAAGGGAGCAUUUAAACUAGCCCUAGCCAGAGGGGAAUUACCAAUCCUAGUGGUCCAAACUUGAGAGCCUUCAAACCUCACCUCCAUUGCUGCAAGCACUCUGUGUCUCCAAGUAAACUUGAAAGGCAAUCUGUCAUAGGGACUGCAACUCUUAGGUGAGUCCUGUGAGAAGGCAUUUUAAAUGGUCCAUUUUCAGGCAUGAUAAAUCUAAGCACUGGGAGCCAGCCUGCAGAUGUAACAAGCCACACAGCUCAUUCUUCUAGAAAGCCAUGAUAAAUGAACGUAAUUUAGAGGAGGGGUCAGCCCAUAAAAGGGAAGAAAGUUUAGUUAUUGGGAAGUCGAAACUUAAGUGGGAAAAGGGACUGGGGUAUGACCUUAUAAGGGGAAUAAUUAAGCUUAGGCAACGUCUGGGAAGAUUGUAACCCCAUAAUACUCGACCAAUGAGGAACUGGGGGAAGGAUUUGCAUGUUAGGAGAUAAAUUACCUGCUGUAGCUGUUACAGGUGUGCCUGUCAGACACCAGAUCUUGCAAGACCGCUAUUAAAAGUCUCACUUUUGCUGUUCUUUGUAUCUCUGAGUCCAUUCUUUGGGUUUGGAUGAGUGAACAUGUUUCUCACAAAUCUGAGGUCCCGUUCAGGAUCUCUGUGCCUGCAUGGAGUGGGACUCUGGCUGAGAGGGGAGACACAUUCCACCCGAUUUAGGUGGCCUGCUCUGUCUGGGCAUCCCGGCUCCCCGCGGAGGCCAUAGACAAACCGGAGACUGUUAUUCAGGAGGCAAU
rnacentral:lncRNA from 1 species